UCGCAAGACCAAAGAGGGGGACCUUCGGGCCUCUUGCCAUCAGAUGUGCCCAGAUGGGAUUAGCUAGUAGGUGGGGUAACGGCUCACCUAGGCGACGAUCCCUAGCUGGUCUGAGAGGAUGACCAGCCACACUGGAACUGAGACACGGUCCAGACUCCUACGGGAGGCAGCAGUGGGGAAUAUUGCACAAUGGGCGCAAGCCUGAUGCAGCCAUGCCGCGUGUAUGAAGAAGGCCUUCGGGUUGUAAAGUACUUUCAGCGGGGAGGAAGGUGUUGUGGUUAAUAACCGCAGCAAUUGACGUUACCCGCAGAAGAAGCACCGGCUAACUCCGUGCCAGCAGCCGCGGUAAUACGGAGGGUGC
rnacentral:rRNA from 1 species